UAGCAGAGCAUAUGGGCUAGUCCCGAUGCCAUAUCUUUCAAGUGUCUGUAUUAUCAACUUUCGAUGGUAGUUUAUGUGCCUACCAUGGUUGCAACGGUUAACGGAGAAUAAGGGUUCGACUCCGGAGAGGCAGCCUGAGAAACGGCUACCACAUCCAAGGAAGGCAGCAGGCGCGCAAAUUACCCACUCUCGGCACGAGGAGGUAGUGACGAAAAAUAACGAGGUAGCUCUCAUUGAGGUCUACCAUCGGAAUGGGUACAAUCUAAACCCUUUAACGAGGAUCUAUUGGAGGGCAAGUCUGGUGCCACCAGCCGCGGUAAUUCCAGCUCCAAUAGCGUAUAUUAAAGUUGUUGCGGUUAAAAAGCUCGUAUUGGAUCUCAGACUGUGAGGGUCGGU
rnacentral:rRNA from 1 species